AGUUUCUGGUCUGGGCUGACCUACAACAGUACGUUUUGCCCACUGCCUUUCAGUCGUGAUCAAUUUUCUCCAGUUACUGGUGCGUUGAUUUUCCAUAUCUUUUGUAACAAAUGACCAGACAUUGGGCAGCUUGAACAUCUCAAAUGUAUUUUCUCACAGCUCUGGAGGCCAGAAGUCCGACGUCCUCCUCACUGGGAUGAAGUCGGGGUGUAGGCAGGGCCGCGCCCGCUCGCCGGGCUCUAAGGGAAGAUCCUGGCUGCCUCUCCAGCUCUCCUGGCUGGGCCCCGCCCCCUCGCCAGGCUCUGAGGGAAGAUCCUGGCUGCCACUCCAGCCCUCCUGGCUGGGCCACGCCCCCUCGCUGGGCUCUAACGGAAGAUCCUCGCUGC
rnacentral:lncRNA from 1 species